rnacentral:pre_miRNA from 1 species
AAAAGUUAACUAGGUAUGGUGUUGGAACGUUUGCCUACGUUUACCGCUAUGGGCGCUGUUCCAACUGCAUACAAAUUUGAGUUU